rnacentral:rRNA from 1 species
UCUGGCUCAGGAUGAACGCUAGCGACAGGCUUAACACAUGCAAGUCGAGGGGCAGCAUAAAAGUAGCAAUACUUGGUGGCGACCGGCGCACGGGUGAGUAACGCGUAUGCAACCUACCUAUCGAGAGGGGAAUAACCCGGCGAAAGUCGGACUAAUACCGCAUAAAACAGGGGCACCGCAUGGUGGUAUUUGUUAAAGAGAUUCGCUGAUAGAUGGGCAUGCGUUCCAUUAGGUAGUUGGUGAGGUAACGGCUCACCAAGCCGACGAUGGAUAGGGGAACUGAGAGGUUGGUCCCCCACACUGGUACUGAGACACGGACCAGACUCCUACGGGAGGCAGCAGUGAGGAAUAUUGGUCAAUGGGCGGGAGCCUGAACCAGCCAAGUCGCGUGAAGGAAGAAGGAUCUAUGGUUCGUAAACUUCUUUUGCAGGGGAAUAAAGUGCAGGACGUGUCCUGUUUUGUAUGUACCCUGAGAAUAAGGAUCGGCUAACUCCGUGCCAGCAGCAGC